ACGUUAUGUAGUAUGAAGUUUAAAUUUUAAAAUGGGAUAGAAGUGAACGGUUUGAUAGUGAAUAACUCGCAUAUUGAUAUUUGACGGAUAUUAAAGACAGUUUGAGGAUAUAAUGGCAAGUUGGGAUGAGAAACUUCUUAAAGCUGCAGAGUUGGGGAAUAUAAAAGAGGUAGAAUUAUGUAUAAAGAACAGAGCUAACUUGGAAUGUAAAGAUGAUGAU